GACGAACGCUGGCGGCGUGCCUAAUACAUGCAAGUAGAGCGCACAGUUUAUACCGUAGCUUGCUACACCAUAGACUGUGAGUUGCGAACGGGUGAGUAACGCGUAGGUAACCUGCCUGGUAGCGGGGGAUAACUAUUGGAAACGAUAGCUAAUACCGCAUAAUAUUAAUUAUUGCAUGAUAAUUAAUUGAAAGGUGCAAUUGCACCACUACCAGAUGGACCUGCGUUGUAUUAGCUAGUAGGUGAGGUAACGGCUCACCUAGGCGACGAUACAUAGCCGACCUGAGAGGGUGAUCGGCCACACUGGGACUGAGACACGGCCCAGACUCCUACGGGAGGCAGCAGUAGGGAAUCUUCGGCAAUAGACGAAAGUCUGACCGAGCAACGCCGCGUGAGUGAAGAAGGGUUUCGGAUCGUAAAGCUCUGUUGUAAGAGAAGAACGGGUGUGAGAGUGGAAAGUUCACACUGUGACGGUAUCUUACCAGAAAGGGACGGCUAACUACGUG
rnacentral:rRNA from 1 species